AUUGAACGCUGGCGGCAGGCUUAACACAUGCAAGUCGAGCGGAGAUGAGGUGCUUGCACCUUAUCUUAGCGGCGGACGGGUGAGUAAUGCUUAGGAAUCUGCCUAUUAGUGGGGGACAACAUUCCGAAAGGAAUGCUAAUACCGCAUACGCCCUACGGGGGAAAGCAGGGGAUCUUCGGACCUUGCGCUAAUAGAUGAGCCUAAGUCGGAUUAGCUAGUGGGUGGGGUAAAGGCCUACCAAGGCGACGAUCUGUAGCGGGUCUGAGAGGAUGAUCCGCCACACUGGGACUGAGACACGGCCCAGACUCCUACGGGAGGCAGCAGUGGGGAAUAUUGGACAAUGGGCGGAAGCCUGAUCCAGCCAUGCCGCGUGUGUGAAGAAGGCCUUUUGGUUGUAAAGCACUUUAAGCGAGGAGGAGGCUACCUGGAUUAAUACUCUAGGGUAGUGGACGUUACUCGCAGAAUAAGCACCGGCUAACUCUGUGCCAGCCGCCGCCGUAAUAC
rnacentral:rRNA from 1 species